ACCUGCGGGGUUCAAGCGGCGGCUGCCAUGAAGGUAUGAGCGAUCUGGUUUCCCCUUUUGUUGUUCUAUACGAGGAUGAUGCAGAUGCCUUUUGGUGUUUUGAGAUGCUACUGAGAAGGAUGCGUGAAAAUUUCCACCUCGAGGGACCAACAGGAGUUAUGAAGCAGUUGGAAGCAUUGUGGAAGAUCAUGGAAUUGACAGAU